UGAGCAUAUAUGUGAAGCCUCUGUCUAUUCUUUUCUUUGUGACACAAUUAUCUUGGGCUGACUGGACCAUUGUUCUCUACCUUUCUUUUCCUGUAAUAAUAAUUGAUGAGGUGCUGAAGUUCUUUUCAAGAAAUCCCAAAGGUAUAUUUUAUUCUAUUGCAUUGUGCAUGUCAUGUUAAGGAUUA